AAAACUGUGCUUCACAUCGUAAGAAGCUCCAAAGCGAAGCUGGUUAUCAUUACCAACAACUGCCCUCCUUUUUGGAAGUCUGAGAUAGAGUACUAUGCGAUGUUGGCUAAAGUUGGGGUUCACCACUACAAUGGGACGUGAAAGAAGGAUUGGAUUUUAUUAAAGAGGCUAUCAGCAGAACAACGUAUGGUGAGAAGAUAAAGAUAGCUAUUGAUGUUGUUGCUACUGAUUUUUGCAAAGGUGAUGAGUUCUUUCCUGCAAAUUUCCUACAC